AGGACGAACGCUGGCGGCGUGCCUAACACAUGCAAGUCGAACGGACGAGGGGAGCUUGCUCCCCAAGUUAGUGGCGGACGGGUGAGUAACACGUGAGCAACCUGCCCUUCGAGGGGGACAACAGUUGGAAACGACUGCUAAUACCGCAUGACGUAUUCUGGAGGCAUCUCCGGGAUACCAAAGAUUUUAUCGCCGAAGGAUGGGCUCGCGUCUGAUUAGAUAGUUGGUGAGGUAACGGCCCACCAAGUCGACGAUCAGUAGCCGGACUGAGAGGUUGAACGGCCACAUUGGGACUGAGAUACGGCCCAGACUCCUACGGGAGGCAGCAGUGGGGAAUAUUGGGCAAUGGGGGGCAACCCUGACCCAGCAACGCCGCGUGAAGGAAGAAGGCUUUCGGGUUGUAAACUUCUUUGACGAGGGACGAUAGUGACGGUACCUCGAAAACAAGCCACGGCUAACUACGUGCCAGCCGCCGC
rnacentral:rRNA from 1 species